UGAAAAUCUAAUAUUUUCAGUAAACUGAAGUACAUGUGCAACCCAACACCGAGCCAAUCCACCCAUCCCCAGGAAACAGGGUACCAAUGAAAAGAAGAGAGCGGAGGAAAAACACUAACACUGCUGUGUGAAAUGUUUGUUUCAUUAAACCAAGUCAUAGCCACCUCUCCUCUGUUAUUUGGCACUCUUGGUUUUCCGUUUGUUUUUGGUGUAAGGCCAGCCUGUCCUUCCACCAACGCAAACCUCCGGUUCACUUCAGGUUCUCAGCAAAGACCAAGCUUUGCAACGUGACACAGUUCACACAUUUUCAGUCUCCAAAAUAACAGUUUUUUUUUCCCCUCAUAAUAAUUUAACUUUAUGUCUUUAUCCUGUUUCUGACUAUAAUUAGAGGAAAGUGAUAAACCUGUGAGUGUUGAUGUUGAUUAAGAUUCCUAGUUUAACACCUUGUUCCUCUGCUGUCAUUUUCAGAAAACGCCGUGCCAUGUUGUGUUUUACUGACCUGCAGGAAAUGAAAGAUGGCCUCUGGAAAUUCCCCGCACCCUCUGACCUCGGCUGCCAUCUUGACUAAACAGAAAACAGGAGGAGUUUUAGAAUUUGCCCACAGCUACGACCCACAUCUCGCUGCAGCCUCAAUAUCAGCUCCACCAUCCUCGUGAGCCGUAUGAGUUAUUAUUGAGCUAACACAACUUAAUGCAGAUUAUUUUAGCCCCUCACAGGGUUGGUGGCAGACGACUCUCACAGGUAACUCAAAACUAUAAAUUAGACUUUGAUUGCUAGAGAGGGUACAUUUACAGUCCAAUUUUACAGUAGCACUCUUAACAUCUCUUAUGGUGCCAUAUGACGCACUGUGAAUCUAGCCGAGUUAACCGAGAUAAUAAAUGUGAUUUGUUUUGCCCCUUUCAUGUCUACAGUGCACUUCUUUCAGUGGCAGAGUGAGAGGAAUGACCUCUCAUAAAAUCCUAAUUAAGGUAAUGUGUGAAUGAGCAGUGGAGCCUUGUGGAUGCUGAUAGUGAUAAAUGUCCGUCCCCUCAGAGGUACACUGAAGGUGAAAGUGGCUCUUGAGUUCAGGUAGCCCACUGUACAUUAUUGGACCGCAGACAAUAGAGGAGACACUAAGCCCAGUCUCCUUGUAAAGGAAAGGAACAGUAAUGAGCCACAAAAGCUAUUUGCUUUGCAGCCACUGUUUUUUUUUUUUCUCUUUCUCUGCAGACAGAGCAGUGCCAAGCAUCUGAUGAGAUUCAGGAGGAUAUACUAAAGUAGUCACUUUGACAAUUCAUUCCCUUAAAGCCAAAAGUAAUGUUUCCAUUUGUGUCAAAGAGAGAAUAUCAGCUUUGACAUUUGAGCUGCAAUUCCCAUGGAGCAGCUUGUCUAUUCCUAUCAAGGGCAUGAAAAGGAGCGACUUUCAAAGGCGGCCGCGCCUUAAUUUGACGAUACCGAAUGUGUCUCAAUGCAAAAGCAAGAAUGGGGACAGUGUUUGGCUCCAUCGGGUUUGUUCUCCGUCUCACCCAUCCAGGAAAGGCCUGAAAGGGUCUUUUUCAUGAUCCUCAUUCUGGGGCUUCACUUAAGAGCUUUCAUUUGAAGCUCGGCUAUUGAAGAUACUGUGAGGAACUUUUGCUUUCCCUCUGGACAAAGCAGUGCAGUUUGUCUUUUUACAUAUCCAUUCUAAGUGAAGCUACUCAUCCGCUGUCAUACCCACACAUGCAUAUUAGAGAAGUGUGUAGGGUUUGAGAAAGUAGCUGUUUGCAGAAAACGCAGAGGUGAAAUACUCUGCAACAAGGCAGCACAAAUAUUAGCAAAUGUGCACAAAGCUUCAUUCCUAUAACAACAGGUCCAGCUGCCCCAGAUGGACUCUGAAGCACACACAGUCUCACCUCUGACUCACUGAAGGCCGGAGCUAUCGCAGCAUUUAUUGCCACAUUUUUCUGUAAAGUUGUGUAACCAUGUGGCUGAACAUCCCGGUUUUUGAGGAAUGAUACAAAUUUAAACGACAAAAAUACCUGAGUGUGUGUGAAAAUGUGAAGACAGAGGUAGAGCUGCAGUUAUCCUCAAUGAUACCCUCAAAGUUUUUUAUUUCAUUUACUUAUUCAUUUUUUGUUUGUUUUAUUUACAUCAGAUUGAAAAUGAAACAACUGAAAGUUCAUUCAGGUCCAUUUUUAACCACCAUUCUUUUAAGACUACUUUUUUUUACUUGUCAUCUUCUAAGAUUGAAAGGAGCACUUUGGUAUUUUUUAACCAGUGUUUGUUUGUUUGUUUGUGCUUGAUGAUGAUGGGAAGAACAGUUUCUGAAACUAGUCCAGUACUGAGGCAGAGUGGAGCAGUCGGCAGCAUCCAGACGAGCUAAAACGUCAAACUGCAUCCAGCUUUAUGUCACUACAAGAGUUCUCAGAGGAGAAAUAGAAAAGGUCAUGAGUUUAAAGUCCCACUCCGUUUGUUUUUUGUUUUUUUGUUUUUAAGUGUUCUCAGUCAUCUUUAAGUUGUGAUUAUUGAGUUUUUAGCCACAAUCCCCUUACCUCUGUCAUUUUUGAGAGCUUUUCUUCUGCAGAGCUCCAGUAGCUCAUUAGCAAUUCGCCUCUGAGUCGUGGGCGGAGACAGCGCUGCUCUGCACACUCCUCUUCACGUGAGUUUGCAGCCUAACAUC